GAAGAAGCCAAUCUUCCAUAACAGAAGUGAAAGAAGCAAAAACAAGGUAAUACCAGCUAUUAAGCCUAUUCCAAUAAUCAGUACAGUGACGUGGUAUUUUGGCUUUUGGUGGUGCACUCCUUCCAGAUAGACAUAUGCAACUUGCUUGUCCUUCUGUAGUUCAAUAACUUUUGCAUUCUUUUCUGGUGAGGCUGUCGCUCUUACUUCGAACUUCAAUGUAGAAGCAUCAUCCAUUUCUAAAAGUGCAGGAGUAGCUUCCAGGUGCAACUGAAUGGUUGCUUCUUUUCCAUUUUCCAUGUUUCCAAGCUUGCAAUGUAUUUGUAAGCAAAGGCUGUCAUUUUUCAUACAGUACAUUUGUCUUUUAGCAGGCUUUGAAAAGAAAGUGACAACAUCCUUCAAUAUGUUUUCAGUUUUUUCCGGUGCAUUACAGUUUCUGGGAUAUUCAUUGUAGGAGCAUUCUCCAACUGUUGUCUUGAUAUCCAUGACGUUGAAUAAUUUGAAGUCAUGGGGUGGAAAAGCAUUAGGUAUCAUUAACUCUAAGUUUAUAUUUGGAGCCAUGCUUGGUCCUGCAUUGAUAACAUGGAAAGUGAAGUUGAUAUUCUCCUCCAUACACAUAACUGAUGCUUCAUUCUCAUUUGUUCCAUAAACAAAUGAAGGUGGUGUUACAAAUCUACAACAGUUUAGAAGGUACUUAAUAGAUUUGAUAUAUAUUGUUAGCAUAAUUUUUUCUCUGAGAUGUCCUACAGGGCUGAUGCCAAAAAAAGAAUAACUCAAGUUUUUAGUUAGGUAAAGCCAGGAACACCGAGUAGAAAUCUACCUUUGUACUAUUUCCACUUAAGGCAGAUAAAUCAGAAAAGGUC
rnacentral:lncRNA from 1 species